rnacentral:rRNA from 1 species
CCUACGGGAGGCAGCAGUGGGGAAUUUUGGACAAUGGGCGAAAGCCUGAUCCAGCAAUGCCGCGUGCAGGAAGAAGGCCUUCGGGUUGUAAACUGCUUUUGUACGGAACGAAACGGUCUGCUUUAAUACAGUGGGCUAAUGACGGUACCGUAAGAAUAAGCACCGGCUAACUACGUGCCAGCAGCCGCGGUAAUACGUAGGGUGCGAGCGUUAAUCGGAAUUACUGGGCGUAAAGCGUGCGCAGGCGGUUAUAUAAGACAGUUGUGAAAUCCCCGGGCUCAACCUGGGAAUUGCAUCUGUGACUGUAUAGCUAGAGUACGGUAGAGGGGGAUGGAAUUCCGCGUGUAGCAGUGAAAUGCGUAGAUAUGCGGAGGAACACCGAUGGCGAAGGCAAUCCCCUGGACCUGUACUGACGCUC